UCUACGGGAGGCUGCAGUAGGGAAUUUUGCGCAAUGGAGGAAACCCUGACGCAGCAACGCCGCGUGAUCGAUGAAGCCCUUAGGGGUGUAAAGAUCUGUCAGUGGGGACGAAACCUGACGGUAGCCACAGAGGCUGCACGGGCUAACUCAGUGCCAGCAGGCGCGGUAAUACGGGGGGUGCAAGCGUUGUCCGGAAUCAUUGGGCGUAACGAGUGCGUAGGGGGCACGAUAAGUCGGGGGUUAAAGGCGGAAGCUCAACUUCGGUAGGGCCCUGGAUACUGGCGAGCUGGAAUGCGGUAGAGGUAAAGGGAAUUCCUGGUGUAGCGGUGAAAUGCUUAGAUAUCAGAAGGAACAUCGGUGGCGUAAGCGCUUUACUGGGCCGUAAUUGACACUGAGGAACGAAAGCCGGGGUAGCAAAUGGGAUUAGAUACCCUUGUAGUC
rnacentral:rRNA from 1 species